GUUAAUCAGGUCCUUCCAACCCAAUGGUCAGACUUAUUUCUAGACCUUCCAAUUGCAAGCCCCUUGGUUCUCUCCCUGAAGUCUUCAGUCUGCUAGGGUGGACAAAAGUGCUUCUUCAAAAGAUCCCUGGAUCAUCCCGAACCCAGAACACAGGAACUGGCUUCCCAAGUCUCCAAGGGAAUGCUGGCUUUUAGAUGUCUAAUUGUCAGAAUCUGGGAAAACGAAUUUCUUCAGACUAAUAGAUAAUUUCCCAGAGUUGGUAAAACUCUUCCUCUCCACCAGAGGACUCCAGUUCCCAGCAUUCUCACUGGCCAGCUCAAAACUGCCUAUUAAUCCAGUUCUCGGGGAUCCAAUACCUUCUUCCAGCCUCCACGAGCACCUCCACACUAUCUGCAACACUAAUGCAUACAAAUAAAUUAAAAAUAAUAAAGAGAAAA